rnacentral:lncRNA from 1 species
CACUGAUGGGGUGUUGAUAAGUGGAAGUAGUUACCUCAGGUCGACUGUUCCUGCAGCCAGGCUGGAAGCAGUCACUUCAAUGGAAAGCUCCGUGGUCCCUGCCAGCUCCUCUGGUCCACAGAUGUCUCAGGAUGUAGCCCCACCCUUUGUUGGUUGCAGCCAUGGAAUUUGCAAAUGAUCAGCGCACCAGAGUUGUAACCGACCUUACGUUGUACUUCCACAAAGGAACCAAAGAAAUCUGCAGACUCUGUGUAUUUACCCAGGGAUCGCUUUCCUGAGGGUGAACUGUAACCAGCUUCUUUGCAGAAUGGAGCCAUCAUCGGGUGCCAGUAGCACUACAGUACAACGUUUAAAGGGGGAAAUGAAGGCUAGCUCCUCCGAAGGAAACUACAGGGGAAUUUUAGAGCAGCA